rnacentral:rRNA from 1 species
UACGUAGGGAGCAAGCGUUGUCCGGAAUCAUUGGGCGUAAAGCGCGCGUAGGCGGCCCCGUAAGUCCGCUGUGAAAGUCAAAGGCUCAACCUUUGAAAGCCGGUGGAUACUGUGGGGCUAGAGUCCGGAAGAGGCGAGUGGAAUUCCUGGUGUAGCGGUGAAAUGCGCAGAUAUCAGGAGGAACACCAAUGGCGAAGGCAGCUCGCUGGGACGGUACUGACGCUGAGGCACGAAAGCGUGGGGAGCAAACAGG